GAACGUGAAGGGAGCUUGCUCUGAUGAGUUGCGAACGGGUGAGUAACGCGUAGGUACCUGCCUUGUAGCGGGGGAUAACUAUUGGAAACGAUAGCUAAUACCGCAUAGACCCAUGUCGAAAGGGGCAAAUGUCCACUACAAGAUGGACCUGCGUUGUAUUAGCUAGUAGGUGAGGUAACGGCUCACCUAGGCGACGAUACAUAGCCGACCUGAGAGGGUGAUCGGCCACACUGGGACUGAGACACGGCCCAGACUCCUACGGGAGGCAGCAGUAGGGAAUCUUCGGCAAUGGGGGCAACCCUGACCGAGCAACGCCGCGUGAGUGAAGAAGGUUUUCGGAUCGUAAAGCUCUGUUGUAAGUCAAGAAGAGUGUGAGAGUGAAAGUUCACACUGUGACGGUAGCUUACCAGAAAGGGACGGCUAACUACGUGCCAGCAGCCGCGGUAAUACGUAGGUCCCGAGCGUUGUCCGGAUUUAUUGGGCGUAAAGCGAGCGCAGGCGGUUUGAUAAGUCUGAAGUUAAAGGCUGUGGCUCAACCAUAGUUCGCUUUGGAAACUGUCAAACUUGAGUGCAGAAGGGGAGAGUGGAAUUCCAUGUGUAGCGGUGAAAUGCGUAGAUAUAUGGAGGAACACCGGUGCGAAAGCGGCUCUCUGGUCUGUAACUGACGCUGAGGCUCGAAAGCGUGAGGAGCGAACAGGAUUAGAUACCCUGGUAGUCCACGCCGUAGACGCUGAGUGCUAGGUGU
rnacentral:rRNA from 1 species